GUGCAGAUCAAGCUGAUGGGAGGACUAAAGAAACCGUCACUCCUCACCCCCUCUGUUCUCCUCUAUCCUUCAUUAGUAAAAAAAGAAAGAAAAAAAAAGGCCGUCAGCAGAGUGAUGUCACCUUCAGGAGCAGAAGAUGAGAGAUGAGCG